CGAGGAGUGUGUUAACGGGGUGUGUGUUAACGGGGUGUGUGUUAACGAGGCGUGUGUUAACGAGGUGUGUUGGCGAGAUGUGUGUUAACGAGGAGUGUGUUAACGAAGUGUGUGUUAACGGGGUGUGUUGGCGAGAUGUGUGUUAACGAGGAGUGUGUUAACGAGGUUUGUGUUAACCGUGUGUUAACGAGGUGUGUUGGCGAGAUGUGUGUUAAUGAGGAGUGUGUUAACGAGGAGUGUGUUAACGGGGUGUGUGUUAACGAGGUGUGUGUUAACGGGGUGUGUGUUAACGGGGUGCGUGUUAACGAGGUGUAAGCCCCACCUUGCCCGGAGAGCUCGAUGCCGUCGUUGAUGGCGUUGUUCUCUCUGUAAGGUACGGCUUU